rnacentral:lncRNA from 1 species
CCCCCUCCCCCGAGUAGGGAGCCUGGCACCCAAGCUGCUCUGGCAGCAUUUUCUGCGGUUGCUUCCAGGACUGGAUCUCAGAGCAAUUAACACAGCUCUUUGAGCCCGUGAGCUGCACCUACAUCUACCUGCUUGCAGACCUGAAGACCUAGGAGGCGGUUCUGAUCGACCCGGUUCUGGAGACAGCCAAGCGGGACGCGGAGCUGGUGAAGGAGCUGGGCCUCAACUUACUGUAUGCAGCCAACACCCACUGCCACGCCGACCACGUCACGGGCACCGGGCUGCUGAAGAAGAUGCUGCCAGGCUGCCGCAGCGUGAUCUCCCAGGACAGCGGGGCCUUGGCCGACAUCCUCAUCCGCGAGGGCCACGCCCUGGAAUUCGGGGCCUUCAUAUCGCUGUCCCGGCAAACCUGAAGUGCGGGAUCCAGGAUGUGGAGACUUAGCCCCACCCUCUUUACUCCAAGGCCACACCCCUCACAACAAGCCC